rnacentral:rRNA from 1 species
UCUUCCCUACGGGGGGCAGCAGUGGGGAAUAUUGGGCAAUGGGCGCAAGCCUGACCCAGCAACGCCGCGUGAAUGACGAAGGCCUUCGGGUCGUAAAGUUCUUUCGACAGGGAAGAAAAUGCCUAUAAGUAACUGUGUAUGUAUUGACGGUACCUGUAUAAGCAGCCCCGGCUAACUCCGUGCCAGCAGCCGCGGUAAUACGGAGGGGGCGAGCGUUGUUCGGAGUGACUGGGCGUAAAGAGCACGUAGGCGGUGUUGUAAGUCAUUAGUCAAAGACUAGAGCUCAACUUUAGUAAGGCUAGUGA